rnacentral:rRNA from 1 species
UACGUAGGGUGCGAGCGUUAAUCGGAAUUACUGGGCGUAAAGCGUGCGUAGGCGGUUUGCCGUGUCCUGUGUGAAAGCCCCGGGCUCAACCUGGGAAUUGCAUGGGAAACUGGCAGGCUUGAGUGUGGCAGAGGAGGUUGGAAUUCCGCGUGUAGCAGUGAAAUGCGUAGAGAUGUGGAGGAACACCGAUGGCGAAGGCAGCCUUCUGGGCCAACACUGACGCUCAUGCACGAAAGCGUGGGGAGCAAACAGG